rnacentral:rRNA from 1 species
CCUACGGGAGGCAGCAGUGAGGAAUAUUGGUCAAUGGCCGGAAGGCUGAACCAGCCAAGCCGCGUGAGGGAGGAAGGCGCAGAGCGUCGCAGACCUCUUUUGCCGGGGGACAAAAUGCCGGACUCGUCCUGUCCUGAGGGUACCCGGAGAAAAAGCAUCGGCUAACUCCGUGCCAGCAGCCGCGGUAAUACGGGGGAUGCGAGCGUUAUCCGGAUUCAUUGGGUUUAAGGGGGGGGCGGGCGGGCGUUUAAGCCGGCGGUGAAAUCGGGGGGCUCAACCCCGCCACGCCGUCGGAACUGGGGGCCUUGAGUGCGGCGGAGGCAUGCGGAAUGCGCGGUGUAGCGGUGAAAUGCAUAGAU